rnacentral:lncRNA from 1 species
UGAUGGGAGGGUGACAUUAUGGAACAAGGGCACAGUUGGCUCUGGGGGCCUCGAAGUUCAGGCUGUUGAGCUUAGACUUAGGCCUGGAGGCAUGGGGAGCUGUGGGAGGGAUCUUGGAGGGGAGGUGCCCUGGGAGACAUUGAGGAAGGAAAAUGCACCAUGAGGUAAGUUCUGCAGCUGCAGAGCACUGGGCGCUGCUGAUGGAGUAAUCAGGAGACAUUGUGCUCACUUCUUCCCUUCCUAGAAGAGGAAUCGCAGCGCAACCGGGGUGAGGCAAGUGUAUGGGCAACUUAGCUCAGUAGCUAGUGUCUGUGUGUGCGGUGUGUGUGUGCUUGUGGUGUGUGUGUGUGUGUGUGUGUGUGUGUGUGUGUGUGUGUGUGUGUUGUAGAGUGACUCAGAGUGGACUCUGCACCUCUGCGAGAGGGAAUUCUAUCAUGGAAAUAGUUUGGUGGCCCUCGGAGGCACAGGGUCAUGCAGCAAGCUGGCACUAGAAUAUUUCAAGCUCGCAGUAAUGAAAGCAAAUGGCAAUUUGGCGUGUCUUCAGGCUUGAAAGCCGCAGAGCAGUGUUCAGUCAUCAGCGGCGGUUAUCACCCACCGAUAAUGGGGGCUGCUGCUCGGGGCCCGGUGAGGGAGAGGAGGGCUCAGAGAGGUUAAGUGACUUGCCCAGCAUCACAUGGCCGGUAAUGGGAGGGCAAAGUCCAAGGUGCAGAGUUUGGCCUUUCCCCCUCCCCCAAGGCCAGGCCGCUCCCCAGAAUGGAUCAUCUCUGAGCAUUUUCUGAGUGCUGGUUUCCAUAGCAGCAGGGCCAUUCCU